rnacentral:rRNA from 1 species
AGUGAACGCUGGCGGUAGGCCUAACACAUGCAAGUCGAACGGCAGCACAGUAAGAGCUUGCUCUUACGGGUGGCGAGUGGCGGACGGGUGAGGAAUACAUCGGAAUCUACUUUUUCGUGGGGGAUAACGUAGGGAAACUUACGCUAAUACCGCAUACGACCUACGGGUGGAAGCAGGGGAUCUUCGGACCUUGCGCGAUUGAAUGAGCCGAUGUCGGAUUAGCUAGUUGACGGGGUAAAGGCCCACCAAGGCGACGAUCCGUAGCUGGUCUGAGAGGGUGAUCAGCCACACUGGAACUGAGACACGGUCCAGACUCCUACGGGAGGCAGCAGUGGGGAAUAUUGGACAAUGGGCGCAAGCCUGAUCCAGCCAUACCGCGUGGGUGAAGAAGGCCUUCGGGUUGUAAAGCCCUUUUGUUGGGAAAGAAAAGCAGCAGGUUAAUACCCCGCUGUUCUGACGGUACCCAAAGAAUAAGCACCGGCUAACUCCGUG